rnacentral:rRNA from 1 species
UGGGGAAUAUUGGGCAAUGGACGCAAGUCUGACCCAGCAACGCCGCGUGAAGGAAGAAGGCUUUCGGGUUGUAAACUUCUUUUAACAGGGAAGAGUAGAAGACGGUACCUGUUGAAUAAGCCACGGCUAACUACGUGCCAGCAGCCGCGGUAAUACGUAGGUGGCGAGCGUUGUCCGGAAUUAUUGGGCGUAAAGGGAGCGUAGGUGGGAAAGUAAGUCAGUUGUGAAAGUUUGCGGCUCAACCGUAAAAUUGCAGUUGAAACUGUUUUUCUUGAGUAUAGAUGAGGUAGGCGGAAUUCGUGGUGUAGCGGUGAAAUGCUUAGAUAUCACGAAGAACUCCAAUUGCGAAGGCAGCUCACUAGACUGCAACUGACACUGAGGCUCGAAAGUGUGGGUAUCAAACA